rnacentral:rRNA from 1 species
UACGAAGGGUGCAAGCGUUACUCGGAAUUACUGGGCGUAAAGCGUGCGUAGGUGGUUCGUUAAGUCUGAUGUGAAAGCCCUGGGCUCAACCUGGGAAUGGCAUUGGAAACUGGCGACCUAGAGUGCGGUAGAGGGUAGUGGAAUUCCCGGUGUAGCAGUGAAAUGCGUAGAGAUCGGGAGGAACAUCCGUGGCGAAGGCGGCUUGCCAGAACGCGCUCGACGGUGAGGGAUGAAAGCUGGGGGAGCAAACGGG